rnacentral:rRNA from 1 species
UACAGAGGUCUCAAGCGUUGUUCGGAUUCAUUGGGCGUAAAGGGUGUGUAGGUGGCGCGCUAAGUCGGGUGUGAAAUUUCGGAGCUUAACUCCGAAACUGCAUUCGAUACUGGCGUGCUUGAGGACUGGAGAGGAGACUGGAAUUCAUGGUGUAGCAGUGAAAUGCGCAGAUAUCAGGAGGAACACCGGUGGCGAAGGCGGGUCUCUGGGCCGAUGACUGACGCUGAGGAGCGAAAGCGUGGGGAGCGAACAGG